rnacentral:rRNA from 1 species
GGGCCCGCACAAGCGGUGGAGCAUGUGGUUUAAUUCGAUGCAACGCGAAGAACCUUACCAUCCCUUGACAUCCAGAGAACUUUCUAGAGAUAGAUUGGUGCCUUCGGGAACUCUGAGACAGGUGCUGCAUGGCUGUCGUCAGCUCGUGUUGUGAGAUGUUGGGUUAAGUCCCGCAACGAGCGCAACCCUUAUCCUCAGUUGCCAGCACGUAAUGGUGGGAACUCUGUGGAGACUGCCGGUGAUAAACCGGAGGAAGGUGGGGACGACGUCAAAUCAUCACGGCCCUUACGUCCUGGGCUACACACGUGCUACAAUGGUAGGUACAGUGAGCAGCCAGUGCGCGAGCAC